rnacentral:lncRNA from 1 species
CCUGCUUUGGUAGAUUGCCUCUCGGGGAGGUUGGUGGAUGAACUAGUACAGUGCUCUCGAGCCUCCGAAGGCUGGUUGGCUUUUUGUGUUGCUCCAGGCUGAGAAUGAACUGAUCUCUCUACAAAAUAUCCUACCCUCUCUAUUUAUAGUGGAGGCCCGGGUCCUCUUCCCUCAUUGUUUUGGCGGGAAGGGAUCCCACAACGGCCAAUUUUGAAGGGGGACAAAGGAACAUGCUUCCCCUGUCAAAAGUGGUCUUCGCCUGCAAUGUAGGUGCCUGUGCUGCUAGGGUGGGCGCAGCGAUGACGUCCGUCCUGCCGGCGGGCGGCCAUGGUCUUGUUGCACCAAAAGGGAAACCUUUAGGAGAUGCCUUGGGAAACACCGUUCGCUUUUGCCCUCUUUGCACCAAAGGGGAAAUUGGAUCCUCUGCUGCCUGUUGCUCGCCUGUCCUCCCUCUACGUCAUCCUUGACUCCUGAGGUUGGGCCCCACCUCGGAAUAUCCGCCGCUCCGGAGGGGUCCUGAGGAGGCUCUCUCCGGGUCUUGAUGUCGCUCCUCCAUGCGAGGCUUGGCCCCAGGCGAGGGCCUUGUACUAGGUGGUGUCAUGCCAGUUGAUGUUAUGUUGAUGAAGCGGGCCAGCCAUGGGCCGCAGGCAGGCAGGUCUAGG